rnacentral:rRNA from 2 species
UCUGACGACCAUAGCAAGUUGGCCCCACUCCUUCCCAUCUCGAACAGGACAGUGAAACGACUUUGCGCCGAUGAUAGUGUACAUACGUAUGUGAAAGUAGGUCAUCGUCAGAC